AUUGAACGCUGGCGGCAGGCCUAACACAUGCAAGUCGAACGAGUGGCGGACGGGUGAGUAAUGUCUGGGAAACUGCCUGAUGGAGGGGGAUAACUACUGGAAACGGUAGCUAAUACCGCAUACCAUCAGAUGUGCCCAGAUGGGAUUAGCUAGUUGGUGGGGUAACGGCUCACCAAGGCGACGAUCCCUAGCUGGUCUGAGAGGAUGACCGGCCACACUGGGACUGAGACACGGGCCAGACUCCUACGGGAGGCAGCAGUGGGGAAUAUUGCGCAAUGGGCGAAAGCCUGAUGCAGCAAUGCCGCGUGUAUGAAGAAGGCCUUCGGGUUGUAAAGCACUUUCGGCGGGGAGGCGGUACCCAAAGAGAAAGCAACGGCUAACUCCGUGCCAGCAGCCGCGGUAAUAC
rnacentral:rRNA from 1 species